UAGCGAAGGGGGCUAGCGUUGCUCGGAAUCACUGGGCGUAAAGGGUGCGUAGGCGGGUUCUUAAGUCAGAGGUGAAAUCCUGGAGCUCAACUCCAGAACUGCCUUUGAUACUGAGAGUCUUGAGUAUGACAGAGGUGAGUGGAACUGCGAGUGUAGAGGUGAAAUUCGUAGAUAUUCGCAAGAACACCAGUGGCGAAGGCGGCUCACUGGCCCGUUACUGACGCUGAGGCACGAAAGCGUGGGGAGCAAACAGG
rnacentral:rRNA from 1 species